GUCAACCAUUACUGUGCUGAAACCAAAGGAGGAGAAGCAUCAGGCACAGGGAACUCCAUAGAAGAACUUGGAUGCUGCAUCAAGCAGUUGUUGCUAGUUUUCAAAGAGAUCUGCGAGUUGGUUUAUCAGGAAAUGAGGUGAGAAUAUGCUCAGGGCUGGCUUUGAUGGAGUGCCAGAUGAAAAUGCUUUAGCGAAGCUGCUGAGACUCGGGGAAGAAGAAAGUGGAUCAAGAUGAGCUGAGCCCGCUUUUAUUUUCCGAUUUGCAAGGUUACGCGUCCUGGAGGUGACCUCCCAUUUGGCUGACUGUAAAAGAUCUAAAAAAGAAAAAGGAAACCACAUUUGUAAGCAAAAUAAAACAA